GUGCUUGCUUUGGCAGCACAUAUACUAAAAUUGGAACCAUACAGAGAAGAUGAGCACGAACUGUGCAAGGAUGACACACAAAUUCGUGAAGUAUUCCAUGUUUUU
rnacentral:snRNA from 1 species